CCUACGGGCGGCUGCAGUAGGGAAUCUUCGGCAAUGGGGGCAACCCUGACCGAGCAACGCCGCGUGAGUGAAGAAGGUUUUCGGAUCGUAAAGCUCUGUUGUAAGUCAAGAACGGGUGUGAGAGUGGAAAGUUCACACUGUGACGGUAGCUUACCAGAAAGGGACGGCUAACUACGUGCCAGCAGCCGCGGUAAUACGUAGGUCCCGAGCGUUGUCCGGAUUUAUUGGGCGUAAAGCGAGCGCAGGCGGUUAGAAAAGUCUGAAGUGAAAGGCAGUGGCUCAACCAUUGUAGGCUUUGGAAACUGUUUAACUUGAGUGCAGAAGGGGAGAGUGGAAUUCCAUGUGUAGCGGUGAAAUGCGUAGAUAUAUGGAGGAACACCGGUGGCGAAAGCGGCUCUCUGGUCUGUAACUGACGCUGAGGCUCGAAAGCGUGGGGAGCGAACAGGAUUAGAUACCCCAGUAGU
rnacentral:rRNA from 1 species